AACGUAGGAGGCAAGCGUUAUCCGGAUUCACUGGGCGUAAAGCGCGUGCAGGCGGUUCGGUAAGUUGGGCGUGAAAUCUCCUGGCUCAACUAGGAGAGGUCGUUCAAUACUACCGGGCUAGAGAGUGGUAGAGGAAGAUGGAAUUCCCGGUGUAGUGGUGAAAUGCGUAGAUAUCGGGAGGAACACCAGUGGCGAAGGCAGGUCUCUGGGCCGAUACUGACGCUGAGGAGCGAAAGCGUGGGGAGCGAACAGG
rnacentral:rRNA from 1 species